UUAAUGUUGUCAAUAUUAACUUUAACAACUCAUAACGGUAAAUGGUUCCAUUUACUUACCAAAUUUGAAACAAUUUGAAAUAAAUUGAAUCUUAAUUAAACCGAAAUAGAAUAUAAAUGCUUUUCUCAUAACCAAGCUUCUAAAAAUGUAGAAAAACUAUCAAAUUAAUCUGAAUUAAAUUAAAAGAAAAAAAUUUUUUGAAAGCAAUUUGACAAUUAAGUCUACUACUCUUAGUUAUAAUGAUUAUUAAUCUAUCAUUUCAUCAUAUUAAUCAGAAUUUUCAUAAUUAGUAAGGAUUAAAACUAAUGAUAUCAAAUCCGAUUAUUAUUUACUAAAUACAGUACAUUGUCCAACACGAAAACUUCACAAUGCGUGGCGGGAUUAUCACGUGAGAGAUUACAGGUCGUCCUGCACGUGUAUGAACUCCGAGAAUUCUAUAGUACAGUCAGACAUGUCUACUGUUAAAGUAAUCUAAAAUUGCUAUGAUUCACUACUGCUGUUGUUAACUGUGCUCCCAGUUAUUCCGUAGGGAAUUUUUCGAUUGUAGUUCUGUUUCGAACUGCAUCCCAAAUGCGCCCGUUUCGAUCCCAGUUACCAGACAUUAAUCAUGGAUUUUAAUUACGUUUCAGUAGACUUUCUUCUUACGAUUCAACAGUCGCGUAUCCAAGCAUAAAAAUUCCCACCAAAAAACUCAAAUAACGACUUCUACAGAUCGCUUUCUUUCGUGAGAAACUGCAAACAAUUUCCUAGUUUUUUUCCACACUAUUUAAUUAACAGAAGGUGAUUAAAAUCCUUUUUUAUAAGACUAAAGAAUCGAGUAUAAUAUUGUUGCCCGUUCUGACUCCUUUAAAUAUCACUGAAUGAGCUAAUAACAGCAACAAAAUAGCAAUAAAGAUGGGAAGCCAUUCAACGAAAAGUCGCCUAUUUGCGUGCAGUUUUCUUGGCUUCGUUCUCUUAGAUGAUAAUUCUGUUUUCUUUCUUUUUUUUUUAUCUAGUUCCAUUUCUUAAUUCAUUUUUUACUUUUUUCGUUGAGAAAAUAUGAGAGAAAAUAAACUUAUUUUAGUACUUGUAUUUUAUUAUUAUUGAUGCUUGACUGACAGUUUCGUAAUCCUCAUAAUAUUAUACGGUGCGAAUAUUUUCAUCAUUUCUCAAAUUUGAAUGGUGCUGUAGUGCAUAAGCGCUUUCGUCAAUAUUAAUUAAACAGUAGACAUGCGAGUAUUCUUCUUGUGCAAACACAAGAAUGGCUAGGAAACUCCCUGCUUGGUAAUAAACUGUCAAUAGACUUGGUAACAAUAAAAUAAUAGACUACUGUAUCAAUAUUUUAUAACAAAAUAAAACUUGCAAAUAUUAAUUUUAAAUUUCUAACAAAAUAUUAUUCUUCUAUAAAUUAUUGUUGCCAACUAUAAUUUAUUUAUGAAGUUUUCCUUUAUAGAAUACAUUAAAUUCUCGUUUAUCCGGCAUGGUCGGGUUGGAUCAUGAUGUUGGAUAGAUAGAUGGCUUAGAAUAUUAUUCAUCAGGUUUGAAUAGGGACAUAUAAAAGCCCUAGAAUUGUGACUAUAUAAUAAUAGUCUAUUGUUCACCCUUAACAGAAUUAUCUCAUUAGAAGUCUUGUCUUAUAAAUAAAAGACAAUAUCUUCCUUAAUGGGAUUGUUGAGACAUCUUCCGGUACAGGAAAAUGCAAUAAAAUAAGAUUAAAUCUUAGCCCAGAAAGGGCUAUAUCACUUACCAAAUCAGUUAUCUGAAGACAUGCAGAGUGCUGACAACUGGAGACAGGAGUGCUCCAGGUUCUUUUCAUCCUGUAACUUGAUGGCAGUUUUGCCUCCAGGUUCUGUUAUCGGUUUUCCUGCCAAACUUAAAAUCCGUUCAAAUGUAAAGUAUUACUGCUUCUGGGAUCUCUGGAACAGUUUUGCCUGCAGAGAGCCCACCGGCAGCAAUACUUUAAAAGAUCCCCUGGGGAUGGAGAGCAGAAAUUCAUCCAUCAUCUCACCCACGUGUCAUAAGAAACAACUAAAGAGUGCCUUUCUUCUCCGCUAGUGGUCUGCAUACUUCUCUCUUCUCUCACUAUUCUAUACUCUUCUAAUUUUCAUUCUUCAUUCUUCAAAGGAUUAAAUCUCAACGCAUUACUUUAAAUUUUAUGAACUUAACUUCGUUUAGCUGUCAUCAAUUGCCACAUUAUUUAUUAAUUACUCUGAAGAUGUUGUGAUAAUAAUGGAAAUAGGCUGCUGAAUAAUGUAGUGAAUUAUAACGACCAGAACAGAAAUAUGCUACGUAAGUGCUGGAUAAAGGAGAUUUUAUUAUAUUUUUUUCCUUUAAGUAACGACUUCUUGUUUUCGUGUAUACAACCAAAAUAACAGAUUUUUUACUAGCUAUUUUUGACACAUAUUAAUUAUUUUUUCUAUAUAGCGGUAGCCAUUUUUAGAACCUUCAUCUUAUUAAUUUUCUUUACGCUUAAAAAAAAAUACUCGAAAAUUAUUUAUUUUACUCGUUUAAUUAUAAGCAAAAUAAACAGUAUUUCCGGUCAGGGAACUAACCGUAUCAAACCAGAUACCGAAUUAUUUAAAUUAUUUUCGAUGUUUUGAAAGCACUCUAUGUUUUUUAAUACAUUAUUUGCAAAAUUACAAAGUUACCGAAGCGAAAAGAUAAAUGGGUAAAUAAAUGUGUUGUUUGCCUUUUGUAGUUUCAAACCGGCAUUGCAUAAACUCCUUGGCAUUUCUCCAACGUCGAGAAACUAUCUUGAGAAACAACUUCACCAUUUCUGCAGAUUAACUAACAUUGCAUAAGUAUUUAUGCACUGCCGGCUCGCGUUACGUAACCAUUCUCGUUACUGCGAACUGCUCAUAACUUUUACCAAUAAUCUGCCGAUGGUAACGUAAUCGAUUAUAGAUUCAGUAGAGUGUAGAUUUUUCUUUCUUUUAUUUUUAACUUUAUAUAAUUGCGAUAUAAAGUGAUAUUAAUGGAUUUAAUUCAUGAUAAUUGUUCGAAAUUAUGAGAAAAAAAUAAAUAAAUAAAAUUCUGUAGAGGUUAACUUGCGAGACGAAGCAGUUGACACGCAAUAGCACUAUAUCCAUGGCAAUGGUUGAUUCUAUUCUGGAGUUUAUCAGGGAAGUUAAAUCGCUGAAUGUAUAAGAAAUACGAGAAGAAAGAAAUUUGAAUUUUUUAAUCAAAAAUAUUCAAAUUUUAAAUAGUAUUUACGAGAGAAAAUAAAAAUUGAAAGACGUUUUACAGCCAGUUAACGUUUUCGAUAUUAAUUUUUAUCAGUGCCUCCGAAGUUGUUUCGAUUUUUACGUGGAUAUUGUCACAGAUGUAUUAGCUAAACGUUGUUAUUAUUAAAAAAAAAAAAAAAAAACUAUAAAAGCAGACGGUCUCACAAUAGAUGUUGUUAUUUAUAAAAGCAAAGAUUGUUCAGAAUCCGGAUGCCAAAUAGCUACCAAACCGAACUAGUCAGUUCAAACUUAAUCGAGUUAGGAAAAUAUCGAUUUUUCAAAUCUGUGAGUUAUAAUAGAUCUAUAUUGUUAAUUCUAAUCAUUUAUAUCUUUUAAUUUAGACACGACAACGUGUAAUUCGUUUCUUGCGUAAUAUUUCGCAUUAAAUUUAUUUAUUUAUACGAAUUUUUCUCGUUAUUUUCGUGAUAAAAUAAACUGGAAGGAGAAAAAUAUUCGAAUAUUUUAAGUGCCUAAGCGAGUAACGUUUAAGUGAUGUAGUUGUGUUUUUUUCCUUUUUAUUUUUGAAGUUUUUAUCAAAACUAAGGC
rnacentral:lncRNA from 1 species